UACGCGACGCUUACAGACUUGCAAAUAUCAUUUCUCCUUGAUUAGUAUUAGAAGCGAGACAUUGUGCGACAGCCACUCCGCCACAGCCGCCCUUGUCCCUGGACGCCAAAAACAAAAGCAGUAUACAACAAAGAAAGAAACGACAGUAGUAAUGAUACUGAAGAAGCUAAGCUAUCGAAGAAGAAGAAGAAAGUAGAUAUUGCACAUAAGAUUUCACAAAUAGUAAGAUGAAAACAGAAUCUUGAUCAAACCGUGCAUGGUGAUGUAUUCUGUUAUGGGAGAAGUUUCCAGAGAUGAGACACGUGGUGCUCUGUCAUUUGUGGUUGAAAUAUUCUGAUUCCAGAAUUUACUGGUCUGGUAGCGCUGUCGUGCAAUGCCCCUGCUUGCAUGAGGAAUCUUUUGCCGUGGCCCGUAGCUAUGCCUCGUGAAUUUUUUGUCUUGAUAGUAUCUGUUGCCGCAGCUAUGCCUUGUGAAUUUUCUGUCUAUAAUAUGCCCCUGCGAGUCAAGCAGCACCAGAGAGAUGGUGAGGCUUAAUUGAAGAAAAUUAAACCGAGCAGUGGAAAGGGACUUGGUAAAGAUGUAUGCAAGCUUAUCUUUACUUGAGAUGAAUGAAACUUUAAGUGCCUUGGCAUCUACAUGUUCUCGCACAAAGUGGUAAUCAUUAAUCAAGGUUAACAUGCUUAGUACGUGAAUGUAAGACAGGAUUUGCAAAUAAAUAUGUUACACCCAGAUUAUCACACCAAAGUAUAGGUGGAUCAGACAAAAAAAUACCAAGUUCACUGAGUAAGGAUUGAAACCACAGUAAUUCAUAAGUGGUAUUAGCAACA